CACCAGGGCGUGUUUGUAAGGGAUGCGUGUAGGGGUAGAACUAGAAUGCAAUGUGAAAAAGCAAGCCGCAUUAGUUUGUGAAGGGCAAGGGUAGUUUUGGAGGGAGGAAAAGAAAGAAAAAGAAAGAGAGGCCGCGGUGCUAUUUAGACAGGCCGGCGGCCGCCAAGCGGGGACGGUUCUCUGCCGUUACCGAGCGCCGGUCUAGUGUGUCGGGGAGGAGAAGGAGGACGAAGAUAGCUGGCGCGAGGGCAGAGACCGAGUCGUCUCGUUGUCGUGCCCGGUGUGGGCAAGCAGGUCUUGGCGGCCGCCCAAGAGCGGCUGGUGGCAGCAGCACGAGCAGCAGGAGUAGCGCCGGAAGCAGCAGGAGUGGGAGAAAAGCUAGAUGUAGUUGGCGACGUGGCCGCCCGUGGGGCAGGGAGCGGCCGGCAUGGCAUCGUGCCAGGGCCUAGUCGGGCAGCUACGGCGGCGGGUUAGCCUAGCGACGGCGGGGGCGCCGUAGCUGUCCCCCCAGCACCUCCGGAAGGGCUGCCGGCAGAUGCCGCUGCACUUCCGCGUGUACCGCUGGUGGUUCAGCCCGGGCGAGCUCACGCGGCAGACGGAGUGGCUCAAGCUCCUGACGCUGCUCGAGGCCCAGGAGGGCCGCACGACGGUGCAGAAGGUGGGCCUCACGUAGCUGGGCACCGAGCGGCCGCGCCAGUGGACGGGCGAGACGGCCCGGCUGGAGUGGCUCGGGGGGCGCUAGGGCCGGCCGCGGCUCUCGGCGCCGAUGGACUGCCUCUGCCGGCACGUCCUCCUCGGCCUCCUCGAGCUGCUCCUCACGAGUCACCAGAGAAAGUGCCGACUUAGAGAGUGGUCAAAGUCAUGUCAUACCUCCGUGCUCAAGUGCCCGCGCCUCAUGUUGGUGAUGGCGUCUUGCGUCAGCCGGUACCUACGCGGCCUGGCCGUGUGAGAGUCCGACGGUCUCGUGCAGUACUUCCUCGAGCGGCGGCAGGCCUCCGUGGCCGCCCGCCGAUCGGAGCGGCGUCUCAUAGGCCUGUGGCGCCUAGUCUCCUGCGGCCCCACCGACUGGAGCAAGGACGCCAGGUACAGUACCGUCGCCGUCUCGGCGCCCCUGAGCCUGCGGCCCCUCCUUGUGCCGCCGUCGUUUGCCUAAGUAGGGCACAGGCCUCGCGGCCAACUUUCUGGCUCGCCCAGCCCCAGGCCGCCCCUGCUCUUCUUUCUCUCGAGGCUGCAACUGCGCAAUUUGGCCCAAACUGGAGAAGCAAGCAAGAACACACAUUAGAAGCAGACUCAAGGAAUACGUUUAUCUUAAAAAUAUCUGGAGGUACCGAACGCUAGUGCAACAAAGAAAGAGAGAAACUUAAACCUUCCUUCUUCUAGAGGAACCUAAGUACGUGGACGACGGCAUCUGUCUUCAAAAGUCUAAUACGUAAUGUAGCAGGACUUAAUUAACACGUUAAUCAAGACGAUGUCUUUA
rnacentral:rRNA from 1 species